rnacentral:rRNA from 1 species
GAUGAACGCUGGCGGCGUGCCUAAUACAUGCAAGUCGAGCGAACAGAUGAGGAGCUUGCUCCUCUGACGUUAGCGGCGGACGGGUGAGUAACACGUGGAUAACCUACCUAUAAGACUGGGAUAACUUCGGGAAACCGGAGCUAAUACCGGAUAAUAUAUUGAACCGCAUGGUUCAAUAGUGAAAGACGGUUUUGCUGUCACUUAUAGAUGGAUCCGCGCCGCAUUAGCUAGUUGGUAAGGUAACGGCUUACCAAGGCAACGAUGCGUAGCCGACCUGAGAGGGUGAUCGGCCACACUGGAACUGAGACACGGUCCAGACGCCUACGGGAGGCAGCAGUAGGGAAUCUUCCGCAAUGGGCGAAAGCCUGACGGAGCAACGCCGCGUGAGUGAUAAAGGUCUUCGGAUCGUAAAACUCUGUUAUUAGGGAAGAACAAAUGUGUAAGUAACUAUGCACGUCUUGACGGUACCUAAUCAGAAAGCCACGGCUAACUACGU